GAAAAAAUUUAUUCAGCAGAGAGAUUUCUCAUUGCCACUGGUGAAAGGUCACGUUACUUGGGCAUCCCUGGCGACAAAGAAUACGGCGUCAGCAGUGAUGAUCUUUUCUCCUUACCUUACUGCCCAGGUAAGACCCUGGUGGUUGGAGCAUCUAUGUCACUUUGGAAUGUGCUGGAUUUCUUUCUGGUAUUUGUUUAGAUGUCACUGUUAUGGUACGGUCCAUUCUUCUUAGAGGAUUUGACCAGGACAUGGCCAACAAAAUUGGUGAACACAUGGAAGAACAUGGUGUCAAGUUUAUAAGACAAUUUGUACCAAUCAAAGCUGAACAAAUUGAAGCUGGGACACCAGGCCGACUCAGGGCGGCAGCUCAGUCCACACUAGUGAGGAAACCAUCGAAGGAGAGUAUAAUACGGUGUUGCUGGCAAUAGGAAGAGAUCCUUGCACAAGAAAAAUUGGCUUAGAAACUGUGGGAAUGAAGAUAAAUGAAAAGACUGGAAAAAUACCUGUCGCAGAUGAAGAGCAGACCAAUGUGCCUUAGUCUGUGCCACCGGCGAUGUGUUGGAGGACGAACUGGAGCUCACCCCAGCCGCAGUCCAGGCAGGAAGACUGCUGGCUCAGAGGCUUUAUGCAGGUUCCACUGUCAAAUGUGACUAUGAAAAUAUUCCAACAACUGUAUUUACUCCAUUGGAAUAUGGUGUUUGUGGCCUUUCUGAAGAGAAAGCUGUGGAGAAAUUUGGGGAAGAAAAUAUUGAGGUUUACCAUAGUUACUUUUGCCCAUUGGAAUGGACAGUUCCAUCAAGAGAUAACAACAAAUGUUAUGCAAAAAUAGUCUGCAAUAUGAAAGACAGUGAACGUGUUGUGGGAUUUCACGUACUGGGUCCAAAUGCUGGAGAAGUUACACAAGGCUUUGCAGCUGCACUCAAAUGUGGACUGACCAAAACACAGCUGGACAACACAAUUGGAACCCACCCCGUCUGUGCAGAGGCCUUCACGACUCUGUGACCAAGCGCU